UCACCCGAGGCGGGAAUUGAACCCUGGCAUCAUGAGGCAGCAGUGCUAACCACUGAGCCGCCCUGUAAAUGCUGUGCAAGCCAAUGCCGAAAUCCCACAGACAAAUGGCUGACACCGCUUUUCCCACAGUAGGUCCUGCUUUUCCAUGGGGCCUUCCUGAUCCCGCUAGAGCCUAUCGACAUAUUCCAUCAUUUAGCAGGUGCUGGAGAGCAGGUGUAUGUGACCAGCAAAUUACAGCAUGCACUGAAGCAGAGGGAUCAGAGGCCCAUUGCGUUGGUUCCUGCCAAUCAACUGGACCAAGGAGGAUUUUAAUACCAUUUAUCCAACAUGAUUCUUUGGCACUUCCUGAACACCUACUCCCCGGUGGCCACUCAGCCCAACACCUGCUGGGGCUGGUUGGCUUGGAGAGGUGCCUGGCAUGCAGUGGAUGGGCCAAGUGGUUCAGUUGGAGGACAGCCCUGCUAAGGACAAGUCACCCAGUUGAUCUCUCUUAUUUUGGAAAAGGAAACUACCUUGUUGACGGGAUGAAACUUUCUUAUUCUUUUGAAAGAACAUUUCAAAGUUGCAUUCCUGAGCAAGCUGGGUCUCUAUGACAACCGUGUGUGAUUAGUGACUCGACCACACGUACCAGAACAUCAAAGCAACAGACUUGGGAAAUAUCUUAUGCUUUAGAUGCUUAGGAAUUGACCGACAGGUUUAGACAGUACAUUUGGAUCGGCUCAGGCUUGGAGGGCCGAAAGGCCUGUUCUUGGGCUGUAAAUUUUCUUUGUUCUUUGUUCUUUAUCCUGUUGCCUUUACAAAUAAAUCAUUGGUCAAAAUGUGCUUUCACUCAGAAAGUCCAUCGCUGCAGAGAAA